rnacentral:rRNA from 1 species
CCUACGGGUGGCAGCAGUGAGGAAUAUUGGUCAAUGGGAGAGAUCCUGAACCAGCCAAGCCGCGUGAGGGAAGACGGCCCUAUGGGUUGUAAACCUCUUUUGUCGGAGAACAAAACCCGGGACGUGUCCCGGACUGCGUGUAUCCGAAGAAAAAGCAUCGGCUAACUCCGUGCCAGCAGCCGCGGUAAUACGGAGGAUGCGAGCGUUAUCCGGAUUUAUUGGGUUUAAAGGGUGCGUAGGCGGAAUGCCAAGUCAGCGGUAAAAUCGCGGGGCUCAACCUCGCUCCGCCGUUGAAACUGGCGUUCUUGAGUGGGCGAGAAGUAUGCGGAAUGCGUGGUGUAGCGGUGAAAUGCAUAGAUAUCACGCAGAACUCCGAUUGCGAAGGCAGCAUACCGGCGCCCAACUGACGCUGAAGCACGAAAGCGUGGGUAUCGAACAGGAUUAGAUACCCGAGUAGUC